rnacentral:rRNA from 1 species
UAGAGUUUGAUCAUGGCUCAGGAUGAACGCUGGCGGCGUGCCUAACACAUGCAAGUCGAACGGGAAUAGGAUGAAACCUAGUGAUUCCUAUUCUAGUGGCGGACGGGUGAGUAACGCGUGGGUAACCUGCCUUGCACUGGGGGAUAACACUUAGAAAUAGGUGCUAAUACCGCAUAAGCGCACAGAACCGCAUGGUUCGGUGUGAAAAACUCCGGUGGUGUAAGAUGGACCCGCGUCUGAUUAGCUGGUUGGUGAGGUAACGGCUCACCAAGGCGACGAUCAGUAGCCGGCCUGAGAGGGUGAACGGCCACAUUGGGACUGAGACACGGUCCAAACUCCUACGGGAGGCAGCAGUGGGGAAUAUUGGGCAAUGGAGGAAACUCUGACCCAGCAACGCCGCGUGAACGAUGAAGGUCUUCGGAUUGUAAAGUUCUUUUCUAAGGGAAGAAGAAAGUGACGGUACCUUAGGAAUAAGCCUCGGCUAACUACGUGCCAGCAGCCGCGGUAAUACGUAGGAGGCAAGCGUUAUCCGGAAUGACUGGGCGUAAAGGGUGCGUAGGUGGUUUGACAAGUUGGUAGCGUAACUCCGGGGCUCAACCUCGGCACUACUACCAAAACUGUUGGACUUGAGUGCAGGAGGGGCAAAUGGAAUUCCUAGUGUAGCGGUGGAAUGCGUAGAUAUUAGGAGGAACACCAGUGGCGAAGGCGAUUUGCUGGACUGUAACUGACACUGAGGCACGAAAGCGUGGGGAGCAAACAGGAUUAGAUACCCUGGUAGUCCACGCUGUAAACGAUGAAUACUAGGUGUAGGGGGUAUCGACUCCCUCUGUGCCGCCGCUAACGCAUUAAGUAUUCCGCCUGGGGACUACGGCCGCAAGGUUGAAACUCAAAGAAAUUGACGGGGACCCGCACAAGCAGCGGAGCAUGUGGUUUAAUUCGACGCAACGCGAAAAACCUUACCAGGCCUUGACAUCGAGUGAAAGUCCAAGAGAUUGGACCCUCCUUCGGGACACGAAGACAGGUGCUGCAUGGUUGUCGUCAGCUCGUGUCGUGAGAUGUUAGGUUAAGUCCUGCAACGAGCGCAACCCUCAUAUGUAGUUGCCAUCAUUAAGUUGGGCACUCUGCAUAGACUGCCGUGGUUAACACGGAGGAAGGUGGGGAUGACGUCAAAUCAUCACGGCCCUUACGGCCUGGGCUACACACGUGCUACAAUGGCUAUUACAAAGAGUUGCAAUACAGCAAUGUGGAGCGAAUCUCAAAAAGAUAGUCUCAGUUCGGACUGUGGGCUGCAACCCGCCCACACGAAGUCGGAGUUGCUAGUAAUCCCGAAUCAGCAUGUCGGGGUGAAUGCGUUCCCGGGUCUUGUACACACCGCCCGUCACGCCAUGGGAGUCGGAAGUGCCCAAAGUCGGUGACCUAACCGCAAGGAAGGAGCCGCCUAAGGUAAUGCCGAUGACUGGGGUGAAGUCGUAACAAGGUAACCGUAA